UGGCCAUAUUACGUUGAAACAUUGGUUCUCGUUAGAUCACCGGAGUUAAGCAAAGUCGAGCCUGGUCGGUACCUAGAUAGGUGACCGCUGGGGAAUACCAGAUGGUGUAAG